rnacentral:rRNA from 1 species
GAUGAACGCUGGCGGCGUGCCUAAUACAUGCAAGUCGAGCGAACAGAUGAGGAGCUUGCUCCUCUGACGUUAGCGGCGGACGGGUGAGUAACACGUGGAUAACCUACCUAUAAGACUGGGAUAACUUCGGGAACCCGGAGCUAAUACCGGAUAAUAUAUUGAACCGCAUGGUUCAAUAGUGAAAGACGGUUUUGCUGUCACUUAUAGAUGGAUCCGCGCCGCAUUAGCUAGUUGGUAAGGUAACGGCUUACCAAGGCAACGAUGCGUAGCCGACCUGAGAGGGUGAUCGGCCACACUGGAACUGAGGCACGGUCCAGACUCCUACGGUAGGAAGCGGUAGGGAAUCUUCCGCAAUGGGCGAAGGCCGGACGGAGCAACGCCGCGUGAGUGAUGAAGGUCUUCGGAUCGUAAAACUCUGUUAUUAGGGAAGAACAAAUGUGUAAGUAACUAUGCACGUCUUGACGGUACCUAAUCAGAAAGCCACGGCUAACUACGUG